UAUAACUGGUUCACUAACUUCUUUGUGAAGAAGGCAGAUGUUUUUAGCUUGAAGAGGAGAAUAGAAAUGGAUUUUCUCUAAACAUACAAGAGCACUCAUUUCCAGAGAGAUCCUGGACUGGAGGGACAGGAGCAAGACCUGAGCUUUUCGUCGUGAAUGGCUGGAUGGGGCUUCCGGGAGCUCAAGAUCAAGUCUGGAGGCAAAGAGAGCUAAAAAUCAGAGUGACCGCCAAUGCAGCUAUGAAACAGGUGGCAACAGCCACGUGGAAGAAGCCAAGCGAAGGGCUGUGGGGACCUAGAAGAUGGAGUCAUCAAACAAUGGAAGAAUCCCAGAUCUUCAAGUCACUGUUUGGACAAGAACCUACCAUGACAUGUGCCUGAACUUCGUGUGAGUGAGAAACAAACUUUUAUUGUUAAGCCACUGACUCUUUGGGUUGGUUUUUAUAGUAGCUGGUGUUGCUUAUACUGACUAAUACAUCUUGGAAGUAAAUGAUGCAAAAUAAUUCUAAAUAUUUACAGGGGAUGAUAUUUAUAAGGGAAAAUAAUAAUAGGGUGAUGCCAAUGUGGUGUCCUGAGAAGGAAGCACCAACAAGGAAGGGGCCCGAGGUAGGGAAGGGCAACUGUUCUGAGAGGCUGCUAAUCACAACCAACCUGCUGGCACCACGUCCUGUUCCCAAGUCCUCUGCUCAGCGUGCAGCCCCAGCAGCCUGACGUUGUCUGCGUGUAGACCCUCCAGCAUGACCCUAUAAAAUUUCCCUCCAGCCACCGCCUCUUGGCAGACAGUCCUUUCUCUGCUGUGCAGCCCACUGCUUUCUUACAAUGUAUCUUUCUACUUCCUCUAAUAAAUCUGCCUUUCUUUACCCACAA